rnacentral:lncRNA from 1 species
AGACAACCUGUCCCUAGAUUUGUUGUAUUUUAGGUCCAUGUUAUGGCAAACUAAUGGGCUUAGUCACCUGUUUGAUGGACAUCUCUUUCUUUUCAAAGGAUGGAUCUGCUCUUAAGUAAAGCUUUGCAAAAGCUGUGAAGUGCUGCAUCGAAGCUCUUGAAUUUGGACCAUUUCCAGGCCUGACGUCCAGAAACUCUUCCCUAUGGGUGGUAAAUUUAAAGAGCCCUGGGCUGGCUUAUUCCUAAUCCUGAGAGUCUGCUCGUCCUCCUUCACGUGGGGGACCAUGUACAGCUAGGACCUGUUGACCCAUUAAAAGAGAACUUUAAAGGCUGGAUGCAAAGGAGGAAGCGUAGUAAAGGCAGCAUCUUUCCAGG